rnacentral:rRNA from 1 species
AGAGUUUGAUCAUGGCUCAGGAUGAACGCUAGCGGCAGGCUUAAUACAUGCAAGUCGAACGGUAAGCGGGUAGCGAUACCUGCCUAGAGUGGCGCACGGGUGCGUAACGCGUAUGCAACCUACCUUUAACUGGGGGAUAGCCCGGAGAAAUUCGGAUUAAUACCCCAUAGUAACACUGAUGGGCAUCUGUUGGUGUUUAAAGCUUUUGCGGUUAGAGAUGGGCAUGCGUUCCAUUAGCUAGUUGGUGUGGUAACGGCAGACCAAGGCUACGAUGGAUAGGGGACCUGAGAGGGCGAUCCCCCACACUGGUACUGAGACACGGACCAGACUCCUACGGGAGGCAGCAGUAAGGAAUAUUGGGCAAUGGACGCAAGUCUGACCCAGCCAUGCCGCGUGCAGGAAGACGGCCUUAUGGGUUGUAAACUGCUUUUGUCAGGGAAUAAAAGCCUGUACGGGAUACGGGUUUGCAGGUACCUGAAGAAUAAGCAUCGGCUAACUCCGUGCCAGCAGCCGCGGUAAUACGGAGGAUGCGAGCGUUAUCCGGAUUCAUUGGGUUUAAAGGGUGCGCAGGCGGGCGAAUAAGUCAGGGGUGAAAUUCCACGGCUCAACUGUGGGUCUGCCUUUGAUACUGUUUGUCUUGAGUUUAGUUGAGGUGGGCGGAAUGUAGCAUGUAGCGGUGAAAUGCAUAGAUAUGCUACAGAACACCGAUAGCGGAGGCAGCUCACCAAGCUAUAACUGACG